rnacentral:rRNA from 1 species
UACGAAGGGGGCUAGCGUUGCUCGGAAUCACUGGGCGUAAAGCGCACGUAGGCGGAUUGCUAAGUCAGGGGUGAAAUCCUGGAGCUCAACUCCAGAACUGCCUUUGAUACUGGCGACCUUGAGUCCGGGAGAGGUGAGUGGAACUGCGAGUGUAGAGGUGAAAUUCGUAGAUAUUCGCAAGAACACCAGUGGCGAAGGCGGCUCACUGGCCCGGUACUGACGCUGAGGGUGCGAAAGCGUGGGGAGCGAACAGG